rnacentral:rRNA from 1 species
UUAACAAUAAUUAUUUUAUAUGAAAGUACCCGAAAUAAAAAGAUCUAAAAAGUUAUAUGUAUAGCGGGUUAAGUUAAAUAUGUCGCAUAAUAUAAUUUUAAUAACUUUUUAGGGGAGAAAUUCCAACAGUUUUUAUGGUAGCUGGAUUAAGGGGAAAAGUAUUAAGUACUAAAAACAAUUAUAAAGUGAUAAGAUUUUAUAAUUUAAAUAAGAUGUUGUUGUUAACCUUGGGGAUAACCCCCUGAAAGCUUGUUGCAAAUAACAUUUUUUAAGUAUAUCUUUUUUAUUUAUUUACCUUUAAACUUAAAAAAAUUUGUAUUACUAAGUUUAUAAUGUUUAAAUUAGUAACUAUACUUAUAAUUUUUAUUAAGGAACUCGGCAAAUUUUGUAUUCGACUGUUUAUCAAAAACAUAGUCCGUUGUUGUUUAUAAUGGAUAUUGACUGCCCGGUGAUUUUUAUUUAACGGCCGCAGUACCUUGACUGUGCAAAGGUAGCAUAAUAAUUUGGCCUUUAAAUGGGGUCUAGAAUGAAAGGAUUUACGAAUAGCAGCUGUCUCAAACUUUAAUUAAAGAAAACUUAUUUAAAAGGUGCAAAUACCUUUGUAUUUAUAUAAUAGACGAGAAGACCCUUAGAAUUUAAUUUAAAAUAAGAUAUAUGCUUGUUUUGAUUUUGUUGGGGCAACAAAGCAGCAGUAAUUUAAUCUGCUUCUCUAUUAUAGGAAUAAGCCGACUAAUUAGUAUGAACAUAUAAAUUACCUUAGGGAUAACAGCAUAAUUUAAUAAAGAUUGUGACCUCGAUGUUGGAUUAGGGCCCUAGUAAUUUAGCCAAUUACUAUGUUAGUUCUGUUCGAACUGUAACACCUACAUGAUCUGAGUUCA